rnacentral:rRNA from 1 species
UACGUAGGGGGCAAGCGUUGUCCGGAUUUAUUGGGCGUAAAGAGCGUGUAGGCGGCUUUACAGGUCCGUUGUGAAAACUCGAGGCUCAACCUCGAGACGCCGGUGGAAACCGUAAAGCUAGAGUCCGGAAGAGGAGAGUGGAAUUCCUGGUGUAGCGGUGAAAUGCGUAGAUAUCUGGAGGAACACCGGUGGCGAAGGCGGCAUUCUGGACCGACAUUUGACGCUGAGGAGCGAAAGCCAGGGGAGCAAACGGG